UUUUUAGAUAAAAUUUCGAUGAAUCGUCUUUUUCGGUCAUAAAAAUGGUGUCUACUCCCUGAAGCUACAUAAGAGGCGGAGAAGAAAACUUUAUAAUAAGGAAAGCCAAGAAAUGCCGUAGAGGAUAUAAAAGAAAUUGAAAGAAAACGUACAGAUAAAAGAUGAUAAGAUCUGGCGGUGGUUCCUGCGUCACUGUUACUUUUGCCUCCGAGAUAUUCGAACGGAAACCCUCACCUGGCUAAAAGUGUCGCUACAUCACAGCGCUUUAUUUAACACGAUAAGAUAUGGACGAGCAUGGAUCACAUUGCACCAUUUGUGAAGAGCAGUACAACGAUCAAAGAAAUCCCCGAGCAUUGAGCUGUGGACAUUCUUUCUGCUCUAUUUGUCUCAACCAGCUCUUCGUACAGAACAGCAGACAUUGUCCAGAAUGCCGAACCCACAUCAGAAAUGCCUCUGUCAACGACAUUCCAGUAAACUACUCGCUGCUCAGGCUAGUUCGAGCCCAGGCAGCUCAGACACCGAAGUCGGCCCCAAAACCUGGCGUGAAUCCGAAUGGCGGGGAGUGUCAAGCUCAUGGAAACAUAAUGUUCUUUUGGUGUGUCAAGUGUUUCACUUGGGUGUGCCGCGACUGCCUAGUGUUGGACCACCCUGAGUCUCCGCGGGGCACAUGCGUGAUCAAGGCGUCCGAACAAGCGACGGCAGACAUGAUAGAAACCGAUAAUCGGAAAGUCACGGGCUUGAUUUUAGAAAUCGAGAAAAUAAUUAAGAUGAUGGAAUCUGGAAAACUUUACCUAGAAAAUCAGAAGAAACAGACUGAAAAUAAAAUAUCUGCUUUACAAAAACAGAUUGUAACAUUGGAGACCUCUUUUCAAGGUUAUACAGACAAAGAGCAAGAAGUUAAUAAGAAUGUGACAGAUAUGAAGACUUGGAUCGUAAAGCUACAGGAAUCCAUGGUCCAAACAGCUAAGGCUGUAACACCACAAGAAGCUAAGGAUAUUCUUUCUGAUAUGUCUACCUCCAGAAAAGAUAUCGAAGAGGAAAUAAGAAAUAAAAAGCAGCUUGCACUUACACUAAACAAUUUGGAUUCAAUGACAAUGAGGAGAAUGCGUGGUUCAAGGUUUGGCCAUUCUUUCGAACAAAGUCAAUUUCUUGAUCUAAAGUGGACUUCCAUGUCCAAAACAUAAGAAGGGUAAUCCUAUAUUGUUUCUUGCUGUAUCACUAACGGCAGUAUUUAUGCUCAAUAUAAGAAUAAUACACUAAUUAAAACUACCAGUUUUAUGUAGUACAUUGAUUAAAUAGAAAUUUUCAGUAUACAUACAUGUGCUUUUAUGUAUAUAUACUAAGACAGAUAGCUGUGUGUUUGUGUGUA
rnacentral:misc_RNA from 1 species